CGGUCCUGGGAGGAGGGAGGGGGGAGAUUGUGGAGCAGGCACUGAGAGCAGAGGGGGCUCCAGCCGCCUGGCUGAGGGCUGCUGUUCUGGCCAAGCGCAUCUUGGUGGCGGUGUGAGCUAAGGCCAGGCUGGGCUCCACGCUCACAAAUGUCACAACUGGCACUACAGCUCAGUGCCCAGCCCUCUGCUCUCUUCCCGCUCCACCCCGCCAGCUCUACCUGACUCCUGGCCUGGCCCAGCUCUCUACCCCAAGCUCCACAUCCAGGUACCACUGUCCACUGCUCCUCUCCAUCCAGAUGUUCCUCCAGAGCCAUCGUACAACCUCCAGGGGGCGCCAUGCACCCAGACCUGGACUGGCCCUUUCGGUGACCCAGCCUGCGCAGGCACCUCCAGAUCAGCAGUCCCUGGCACAGCUACCACCCAGUGGUCGCCUGUCAGCAAAGAGCCCAGCUGAAGGCCUAAGAGCCACCCCACCAAUCCACUUCCCCCCACCCUUAAUACAGAAGUCCAUCGGUCUUCCCCAAAUCAUUCCCCCUGUGCCUGGGGAAACAGAACGGAGCCUGGCACACAGUGGUGCUCAAUAAACGAUUGGUGAAUGGCUGACUAGACCUGAAAUUUGGACUUAGUUUCCACAAGAAGAGUUACUGUAUCAACGCAGGACUGACGACUUCGAGGGGCAAAGACGAUGCUCUCCCCCACUGCCCACAGGAACAGACCCCGGCAGAGCCUGGCUAACAGGAGGGCAGGAGGAAGACCCCAGAAACCUCGUUCUCACCUCCAGUUUCGCGAACUUGUCCGACUUGCAGCAGGCGUUCUCUGCGUUGGUGAGCUUGGCCGCCCAGCGGGGGCCGAGCAGAGAUUCUGCAAGGCUGGGAAGCGGACAGAGGCCGGGGCCUGUGAGGAACAAGGAUGCGCCAGGAGGUGGGAACCUCGCAGGCUCGCGCCCACGAGGGGCCUGGAAACCUCAGAGAACCGCCCAGGUCGCCGGAGCCACGGACGGCAGUGAGGGGAAGGGGGCACACGCAGACCCCUCUCCAAGGGAUCGGCUUUACCUAAGACCCCUGAGACCUGUGCAAGACUUCAGGGGCCAGGCUCAGGCAGGAGGAGGGAGGGAGGGAGUCCUGAUGAUGGCUCGGCUGGCAUUCCCUUCCAACCUGGCAGGAUGGGGACCAAACUUGUGCCUGGAGAAUAAUCCCAUGUGACACUUCACGCGCACCCGGGCUCUGGAGCCAAGUUCCCGCCUGCUCCGACGGCUCAGUGUCGGCGACCACAGGCCGGCCUGGACAAGGCGAUGCUGCCGUUUCCCUCCUAAGUGCACCUAAUAAAGGGCACCUGAGGUGCCACACAGUUCCCCAAACCACUUCUUAUCCGUCUCACACACACACCUGUUUCUCAACUUCCCCCUGCCCCUUCCGACCACAUCAGGGCUGGAAGGAACUCUGAGGUUGUCAAGCCCAACUUCCUCA